UUGACACUGUGUUCCUUCUUAUUUUCCCCCGAGUUUUCAUUAUGUACCAGGUUUUGCAUAAAUUUAUCAUCAAGGUUUUCUACAUCUGCAUUGAAAAUUUAUUUAACUUUUACACCACAAUUCCAGUAAUUAUCUUGCCAAGGCUUCACGUUGGGAUUGCUUAUUUUUUAUUCUCUACAUGCUAUUGGGCGUUUACUUCGUCACUAAUUUGAUCCUUGCGGUUGUAUAUGACAGCUUUAAAAGUGAGCUUGCAAAACAAGUGGCUGACAAAGACCGAAUGAGGAACAGGACAUUAGGAAAAGCCUUUAAUCUCAGUGAUAAAAAUGUAAGUAUGAUUCUCAAAACUAUGGUUAUGGAUUUUUUUUUCUACUUCUGAUCAGGUUUGUCUUCAAUCUGCUAAUCCCUUUCAAAGAGGUGCUAUUGUAGUAAACUGGUAAUAUCAUCAUUGUCAUUCAUCUUUAUCCCUAGUCAUUUUUAAUACAUAUUAAGGAUGUGGUUUUCCAUAUUUAACCAAUAUUAUCUUAUUACUGUGGCAUAUAUCUGAAAUGAAUGUUGUGGCAUGAUUUGCACUCUUUUAAUCUUAAAAAAGAAUUGCUUGUUCCAAUAUGCAACAGUUUACAAUUAAGAGAGGCUAAUUUCACUAUUACAACAUCAGGUGUCUGAAAGGUUUCCUUUACAACUAAGAGAGGCUAAUUUCACUAUUAAUAUGUUCCAUGUUGAGACCUAACCAAAUCUUCAUAGAUUUCUGGAUAACAUUGACGGAUAUUUUUACCAUGUUGAAUAAGCAAUAUAACAAUAUGCUUGAUGUACCUGCCUAGGUAGCUAGACGUAUAAAGUAUGAGGGAUUCACCCCUGCCUUAGACAGUAGAACAGCUUAUUCCUCGUGAUCAACGUGAGCUCAAGUCCCCUAUGGCAAGAGCAAUGCCAGGAAAUGUUGAAUACAAUAUAAUAAAUAAAGUGGUAAAAAAAAAUAAAUAGCCAUUCCAUUGUGUUUUUUUU